GCAAAAUCGUCAAAACCUAACUUAAAAUCCCUAAUUAAAAUAAAACAAACAUAUCGAAAAUCAAAUUCGAAGAUCACAGAAUAUAAUCACAGAAUCCGAAGAAACUUUCACAGAUUCAUGCUUCGAUUUCUCUCUUUUGGGACUUGCGGUCGAAGGGUUCGAUUUUUUGACGGAGAGAGAUUGGUGCCUACUUCUGUUGUUGAUUCUUCUGGUAUUUUUUGGUAAGAAUAGGGGAUCGGAAGAGGAAGAAGAGGCGGCUGCUGUUGAUGAUAAUGAUGGCGUGGAUUCAGAAGUGAAGGUGAGAAUGAAAAUGGAGGCGUAUACAGUAAACCACCACCGCCAUGAAAGCUUGAAAUCUGCAGAUAUGAGUAUGAAAAUUAGAGUAUAAAAUGUUAAAAUACAAAUAUACAGCAAAAAUUUACUAUAUCAGUCAUGUGCAAAGAAAUUAUAAUUAUAAUUAUUUAUGUUAUUAGCUUACUUAAUAUUGUAUUUUUUCCAAAUUUUUAUUUAUGUUACUAGGGUAUUUACUUGGAAUCAACUAUGAUUAAAAUUAAAACUUACUUUAUAUAUUUUAAAAUAGAGGAAUUUUGGAGCAUGUCAUAAAAAAAUUAAAAUUUUAAUUUUAAUUUUAUUAAAUUAAUUAUGCAAGUUUGAUGCUGUAUAUUAAUUUAUAGUACUUUUAUAAAUGAAAAGUUUUAGAAAAUGUCACAGAAAAGUUUAAAAAAAGUAAAAAUUAGAUUUGAGAGUUGGUAAUGUGGAAUUCGACCCGAUUAUAAGACUUCGGAUCAUCUUUCUCUCUAGGCGUCGACACCCAAUAAUCUGAAGUUGAGAACAGUGAGCAGUUUAAUCAUAGAGAGAUGGGGAGGAAGAAGGGAGUAGAGUUCGAUGAAGGAGCUCCAGCCCGUGCAAGGACCCGGUAGCGAUGCUGGAGAUGAGGGAGCACCUGGUGAGAGAGAAAUGGAUCGACAUAGAGACAGCCAAGAUUCUCAGGGAGAAGCUCCGGUGGUGCUACCGGAUUGAAGGCGUUAACCACCUCUAGAAGUGCCGCCAUCUCGUCUAGCAAUACCUCGAUUCUACUCGUGGUAUCUGUUGAUUCUUCUACUGAUAUGUUUAUUUUAUUUUAAUUAGGGAUUUUAAGUUAGGUUUUGACAAUUUUGCCUUUUAUUUAAACAGAUUUGUUUAUGUAAUGAAUAAAAAAUAGUUUUUUUUACCAUAUAAGUUGCUUAAGACGCCACACAAUUAGCCAUGUCAACAAUUUCUGACGUGACUUGUUCAAUUUGUUGUAAUUGAAAAAAAUUGAUAGUUUAAUCACCUAAUUGACAAAAUUAAAAGGUGGAUCACCGAAGUGG
rnacentral:lncRNA from 1 species